rnacentral:piRNA from 1 species
UCCUUGAGUCAUUGUCAACUGAGAGGCGC